rnacentral:tRNA from 1 species
AACCUAUUAGCCUCAACUGGUAGAGCACUAUGCAAAUGCAUAUGGAUGUAGGUUCGAUUCCUACAUAGGUUG